rnacentral:rRNA from 1 species
UACGUAGGGUGCAAGCGUUGUCCGGAAUUAUUGGGCGUAAAGAGCUCGUAGGCGGUCUGUCACGUCGGCUGUGAAAACCCGAGGCUCAACCUCGGGCCUGCAGUCGAUACGGGCAGACUAGAGUUCGGUAGGGGAGACUGGAAUUCCUGGUGUAGCGGUGAAAUGCGUAGAUAUCGGGAGGAACACCAGUGGCGAAGGCGGCCUUCUGGACCAGUACUGACGCUCAUGCACGAAAGCGUGGGGAGCAAACAGG